UACGUAGGUGGCAAGCGUUGUCCGGAUUUACUGGGCGUAAAGAGCGCGCAGGCGGCUGGUCAAGUCCGAUGUGAAAUCUCCCGGCUCAACUGGGAAACUGCAUCGGAAACUGAUCGGCUUGAAGGUGGGAGAGGGUAGUGGAAUUCCCGGUGUAGUGGUGAAAUGCGUAGAUAUCGUAAGGAAGACCAGUGGCGAAGGCGGAUCUCUGGACAGUUACUGACACUGAGGCACGAAGGCCAGGGGAGCAAACGGG
rnacentral:rRNA from 1 species